UUAUUUUUUGUUUUAGACUCGAUCGAUCGAUAAUGAAUUCCUCCGUUGAUUCUGACGAGAUUGAGCAGCACGAAUCUGACUCCGAAGAACUAAAUCAGCUUAGUAAAGAUCUUGAGAGUUUAGUAGCGAGCAACGAGAA